ensembl:lncRNA
GUAAGACUGGAAAUACAAUGUGGUGUAGUAUAAACAGAAUGCACUCGCCGGGCGGCGAGCGGAGACGCCUUUUUAUUCCUGGCGUGAUGACCCAGCACUGCUGGCUGCCGCCGGCACUGAGCGGAAGGGUUGGCCAGCCGACCCAAAGGAGAAGUCUCGGGAAAAAAAAUACCGAGGAAUAAUCUCGCCUGUGCAAUGAAUGCACCCUUCGGGGUAAGACAAAGAGAAACAGGACAAAAGGGCAGCUGCUGAACCAUUUGGCUGUGCCGAGGGGUAGUGGGCUCGACGUGCUGGAGCUCUGCGCACGACCAGCUUGAGUUUGCACCCGCAGCUACAGGACACAACUUUAUGGAGAGGCUCUGCCAAGCUGCACGGCGCCGCCCCGAGAAUGGCCAGAGCAUGGCCCGUGGUGAAACACGAGCCCAGGGAUCUGCACAGGAACACCACCGGCACUGGCACUGCUGUUGGGCUUGGGGCUGCUUUUUAAAAGAGGUUUGCAAAGUGAUGAUGUUUUACUGCCUUGACUCGAGGUGCUGCUGUUGGCUACCAAAGGUAACGCACUACGAGCAAAAACGACCUGUAUAAUUAGACAUUUAUAAACAGAAGCACACUAAUACCUCGUAAAUUGAUUGUUAACCACGUUUAAUGCUCUUAAAUUGGCCAUUAAGUGCAGAAUAAUUUCUGGGAUAUUAUUGAUAUUAUGAAGCAUUAAAGAGGUU